rnacentral:tRNA from 1 species
UGGCUCAAUGGUAGAGCACUUGCCUUGCAUGCCUGAGGCCCUGGGUUCGAUUCCCCAG